rnacentral:piRNA from 1 species
UGCAUACUUUGCACAUGUGUGCCUGUGUCUC